rnacentral:rRNA from 1 species
GACGAACGCUGGCGGCGUGCUUAACACAUGCAAGUCGAACGAAGAGCGAUGGACGCUUGCUUCUAUCAAUCUUAGUGGCGCACGGGUGAGUAACGCGUAAUCAACCUGCCCUUCAGAGGGGGACAACAGUUGGAAACGACUGCUAAUACCGCAUACGAUCUAAUCUCGGCAUCGAGGAUAGAUGAAAGGUGGCCUCUACAUGUAAGCUAUCACUGAAGGAGGGGAUUGCGUCUGAUUAGCUAGUUGGAGGGGUAACGGCCCACCAAGGCGAUGAUCAGUAGCCGGUCUGAGAGGAUGAACGGCCACAUUGGGACGGAGACACGGCCCAGACUCCUACGGGAGGCAGCAGUGGGGAAUCUUCCGCAAUGGACGAAAGUCUGACGGAGCAACGCCGCGUGAGUGAUGACGGCCUUCGGGUUGUAAAGCUCUGUUAAGCGGGACGAAAGGCCUUCUUGCGAAUAGGGAGAAGGAUUGACGGUACCGGAAUAGAAAGCCACGGCUAACUACGUG